UACGAAGGGGGCGAGCGUUGUUCGGAUUUACUGGGCGUAAAGGGCGCGUAGGCGGCCCUCCUAGUCGCGUGUGAAAGCCCCGGGCUCAACCUGGGAAUUGCGCGCGAAACGGGGGGGGCUUGAGUUCGGGAGAGGAGCGUGGAAUUCCCAGUGUAGAGGUGAAAUUCGUAGAUAUUGGGAAGAACACCGGUGGCGAAGGCGGCGCUCUGGACCGAGACUG
rnacentral:rRNA from 1 species